AUGAACGCUGGCGGCGUGCCUAAUACAUGCAAGUCGAGCGAACAGACGAGGAGCUUGCUCCUCUGACGUUAGCGGCGGACGGGUGAGUAACACGUGGAUAACCUACCUAUAAGACUGGGAUAACUUCGGGAAACCGGAGCUAAUACCGGAUAAUAUAUUGAACCGCAUGGUUCAAUAGUGAAAGACGGUUUUGCUGUCACUUAUAGAUGGAUCCGCGCCGCAUUAGCUAGUUGGUAAGGUAACGGCUUACCAAGGCAACGAUGCGUAGCCGACCUGAGAGGGUGAUCGGCCACACUGGAACUGAGAAACGGUCCAGACUCCUACGGGAGGCAGCAGUAGGGAAUCUUCCGCAAUGGGCGGAAGCCUGACGGAGCAACGCCGCGUGAGUGAUGAAGGUCUUCGGAUCGUAAAACUCUGUUAUUAGGGAAGAACAAAUGUGUAAGUAACUAUGCACGUCUUGACGGUACCUAAUCAGAAAGCCACGGCUAACUACGUG
rnacentral:rRNA from 1 species